AUUGAACGCUGGCGGCAUGCUUUACACAUGCAAGUCGAACGGCAGCGCGGGGCAACCUGGCGGCGAGUGGCGAACGGGUGAGUAAUACAUCGGAACGUACCCAGAAGUGGGGGAUAACGUAGCGGAAGUUACGCUAAUACCGCAUACGUUCUACGGAAGAAAGUGGAGGACCUUCGGGCCUCAUGCUUUUGGAGCGGCCGAUGUCUGAUUAGCUAGUUGGUGAGGUAAAGGCUCACCAAGGCGACGAUCAGUAGCUGGUCUGAGAGGACGACCAGCCACACUGGGACUGAGACACGGCCCAGACUCCUACGGGAGGCAGCAGUGGGGAAUUUUGGACAAUGGGCGCAAGCCUGAUCCAGCAAUGCCGCGUGAGUGAAGAAGGCCUUCGGGUUGUAAAGCCCUUUUGUCAGGGAAGAAACGGCUGGGGCUAAUACCUCUGGCUAAUGACGGUACCUGAAGAAUAAGCACCGGCUAACUACGUGCCAGCCGCCGCGGUAACAC
rnacentral:rRNA from 1 species